UACGGGGGGGAGCAAGCGUUGUUCGGAUUUACUGGGCGUAAAGGGCGCGUAGGCGGUCAGCACAAGUCAGUUGUGAAAUCUCCGGGCUUAACUCGGAAAGGUCAACUGAUACUGCAGCUAGAGUGCAGGAAGGGGCAACUGGAAUUCUCGGUGUAGCGGUGAAAUGCGUAGAUAUCGAGAGGAACACCUGCGGCGAAGGCGGGUUGCUGGGCUGACACUGACGCUGAACUGCGAAAGCUAGGGGAGCGAACGGG
rnacentral:rRNA from 1 species